ensembl:lncRNA
AGCCAUUCAAGUGCUAAUGACAAACUGACUCUAGCUCAGACACUUUAUCAAUAUUUUCAGGAUUACUAGUAGAAUGGUUUUAUGUGAGGACCUGCUGCCUUUAAUUAUUUUUACUGCUCCCUGUGUCACAGCAUUAAAUUUUAAUUCCAGUAUUUCUUUUUUUCCUGGCAAGUUUAAAAAGUUACACCCUUUCUUAAAAAUAAAAUUGUCAGAAUAAUUUAGGGGUUUAAGCGUUUCAUCCUUGCAGAGAGGCAUUUAUUUGCUUCCUCUGCCAGAGGGGCACUGCAGCAUGAAGGCAAUGCAGCAUUUCAGCAGGUGUAACAGCUCAAAAUCGAAUUUUCCACGUUUCUUAUCAAUUCUGAGCUGGACCAGUCACAAGGCUGAGAUUAACACCUCCUAAACCUCUUGUAUGGAGAUACAGCAGGUGGCAGAAUCUAACAUAUGACCAACAGACACUGUGUAUGCUGGACAUGUUAUGAACUUCCUGUUCAGUGCAAAGCAAAAGCAUGAGCUAAAAACAACAACCCAAAACUACCGCUCUCCCGUCUGUCUUGGUGCUAAACGGGUCCACAGCCAGGCCUUUAGUCCAUCACACCAACAUAGUGACCUGUGCACACGUAUUGGGCUGUGGGCCGAAGAUUGGGUCUAAACUUCCAGAAUGAGUUGGACGUCCAUCUCCCAUGAAUAGAUGCAUCCCUAUGUGACUUCCCUAUGUGCAAACUGCAGUAAGUGUUCACUCAGUUUCAUUUAUGGGGACUGACUUACUAAAAAUUGAUUGUGCUAUUAUUUAUUACAGCCAAUGAUUUUGAGCCAUUUAAUCUAAACACUAGUACUGUAGCUAGUGGCAAAUCGUAAUUGAACGUAUACGAACAAUCUAAAAACGCAGACACAACAGCUGAGCUGACUGAAAAGCAGUUUUGCUUUUUGAUUAUAUGAAUGAAUGAGAAGCAUGUGGUCUGUGAAGGCUGGGCCGACCCUGGCAAGGCACCCAGACGAGGAUUUCCUGGGUAAUGUGUGCUGGAUUCGACAAAGGAGGAAUGCACACACGCAGGUAUGCAUGCUCGUGUUUUUAAAUGAACACUCACCAGGCGUUUAGCGGCGCAGUCGAAUGAAAACACUGGUGACUCACUGUGACACUGACGCUCUGAUUUUAGGAAGCUUUAAAUGAAUCCCUGCAUGUUCAGUCUGGUGACAUCCGGCAUCUGAACUGAGAAAGGCCCUUAAUGUUUUUGUUGCCUUGGUUUUAUUGAGGAAAACAAAGCAUCUUUCAACGUGAUGGGUCAAGUGUGGGCAAAGUGUGAAUUAGUGGUUAGUGUACAACGCCCACGGGACCUGUGCACGUCUUCACAGUGUGACACCAACCUCAUAACGCGGCAGGCGGCUGCUGGUGACUCGUCCUGAGGUUUGGGUGCUCACGCAAACACACAGGAAGCACAGCAGGUCACGAUUUGCUCCUCGACACACAGACGCUCACGUUCCCUGUUCGGAUGCUUCGUUUCCUGAGUGUGUUUAUGCUGAAGUGCAACACCGGUUCCAAGUAAAGCGAGGUGGCUGCACUUAAAACGAAGCUGGCAGACCACUGAUCAUAAUGAUUCAUUCUACUCUAAACAGGGAACGGGGCCAGAGGGGCCAGCAGCGGUGAGCUGAAU